UACAGAGGUCUCAAGCGUUGUUCGGAUUCAUUGGGCGUAAAGGGUGCGUAGGCGGCGCGGUAAGUCGGGUGUGAAAUCUCGGGGCUUAACUCCGAAACUGCAUUUGAUACUGUGGUGCUCGAGGACUGGAGAGGAGACUGGAAUUCACGGUGUAGCAGUGAAAUGCGUAGAUAUCGUGAGGAAGACCAGUGGCGAAGGCGGGUCUCUGGACAGUUCCUGACACUGAGGCACGAAGGCCAGGGGAGCAAACGGG
rnacentral:rRNA from 1 species